GAAUAUUGGACAAUGGGCGCAAGCCUGAUCCAGCCAUACCGCGUGUGUGAAGAAGGCCUUCGGGUUGUAAAGCCCUUUUGUCGGGAAAGAAAUCCAGCUGGUUAAUACCUGGUUGNNAUGACGGUACCCAAAGAAUAAGCACCGGCUAACUUCGUGCCAGCAGCCGCGGUAAUACGAAGGGUGCAAGCGUUAAUCGGAAUUACUGGGCGUAAAGCGUGCGNAGGUGGUUAUUUAAGUCCGAUGUGAAAUCCCCGGGCUCAACCUGGGAACUGCAUUGGANACUGGGGGACUAGAGUGUGGUAGAGGGGAAUGGAAUUCCNGGUGUAGCAGUGAAAUGCGUAGAGAUCAGGAGGAACACCCAUGGCGAAGGCA
rnacentral:rRNA from 1 species